UACCAGCACCCCGAGUGGUCGGGACGAUUAUUGGGCCUAAAGCAUCCGUAGCCGGUUCUACAAGUCUUCCGUUAAAUCCACCUGCUUAACAGAUGGGCUGCGGAGGAUACUAUAGAGCUAGGAGGCGGGAGAGGCAAGCGGUACUUAGUGGGUAGGGGGUAAAAAUCCUUUGAUCCAUUGAAGACCACCAGUGGCGAAGGCGGCUUGCCAGAACGCGCUCGACGGUGAGGGAUGAAAGCUGGGGGGAGCAAACCGGG
rnacentral:rRNA from 1 species